AUGUAGCGCCGCCAGUCAGCGACUAGGUCAUUCGUUUGCCGCUUGCGUUUACCUGCCCGAGCCACCGAGACUUCGGCGCCGCCACCGGAGCGCUGCCAACCGCCAUGGCCGUCCUUCGUCCUCCGAAUCAGGCUCCCUUUCCAGCCACCACGCCCUCUACCGCGCCGCUUGAUCCGCCGCUCUGGCCGGCGACCCCAGCGCGGCGGACGGCGACCAACAUCCGCACUGUACCGCUCGGCGUCGUCUACACCGGGACGCAGUGUUCCUCGUCCAAUGAUCUGCGAAGAUGGGGGCGAUGAAGCAGAGGGUGCACAGGGAGACAGCCAGAUGCAACGCGAGCUCACGGAGUCCUGGUGUCUGGUGCGAGCGGGAGCUGCUGAAACGAACCAGAAAAGGUGGCCGUGUAACUUCCUGCCGACGUCAACCGCGACAAGAGUGUGGAAAUCCACCAUUCCCUGAACACUUGGUCUACUUGAAAUUUAAUCAUAAUUAGAAAUGUUUGCAGCAAUAUUUAUGUGUUAAAAUUUCUGUAAUUGUGUAAUACAGCAUGAACACUUGGUCUACUUGAACUGGUAGCAGCAAAUGAUCUUCUUAGUUUCUGUA